rnacentral:rRNA from 1 species
GAUGAACGCUGGCGGCGUGCCUAAUACAUGCAAGUCGAGCGAACCACUUCGGUGGUGAGCGGCGAACGGGUGAGUAACACGUAGGUGAUCUGCCCAUCAGACGGGGACAACGAUUGGAAACGAUCGCUAAUACCGGAUAGGACGAAAGUUUAAAGGUGCUUCUGGCACCGCUGAUGGAUGAGCCUGCGGCGCAUUAGCUAGUUGGUAGGGUAAAGGCCUACCAAGGCGACGAUGCGUAGCCGACCUGAGAGGGUGAACGGCCACACUGGGACUGAGACACGGCCCAGACGCCUACGGGAGGCAGCAGUAGGGAAUCUUCGGCAAUGGGCGAAAGCCUGACCGAGCAACGCCGCGUGAAUGAUGAAGGCCUUCGGGUUGUAAAAUUCUGUUAUAAGGGAAGAACGACUUUAGUAGGAAAUGGCUAAAGUGUGACGGUACCUUAUGAGAAAGCCACGGCUAACUACGUGCCAGCAGCCGCCGUAACAC